CUGCGGCAGCGACACUUUAGUGUUGUUGGGUAGGGGAGCGUUCUGUAAGCCGUUGAAGGUGUCCUGUGAGGGGUGCUGGAGGUAUCAGAAGUGCGAAUGCUGACAUAAGUAACGAUAAAGCGGGUGAAAAGCCCGCUCGCCGGAAGACCAAGGGUUCCUGUCCAACGUUAAUCGGGGCAGGGUGAGUCGACCCCUAAGGCGAGGCCGAAAGGCGUAGUCGAUGGGAAACGGGUUAAUAUUCCCGUACUUGGUGUUACUGCGAAGGGGGGACGGAGAAGGCUAUGUUGGCCGGGCGACGGUUGUCCCGGUUUAAGCGUGUAGGCUGGUUUUCCAGGCAAAUCCGGAAAAUCAAGGCUGAGGCGUGAUGACGAGGCACCACGGUGCUGAAGCAACAAAUGCCCUGCUUCCAGGAAAAGCCUCUAAGCAUCAGGUAACAUCAAAUCGUACCCCAAACCGACACAGGUGGUCAGGUAGAGAAUACCAAGGCGCUUGAGAGAACUCGGGUGAAGGAACUAGGCAAAAUGGUGCCGUAACUUCGGGAGAAGGCACGCUGACACGUAGGUGAAGUGAUUUACUCAUGGAGCUGAAGUCAGUCGAAGAUACCAGCUGGCUGCAACUGUUUAUUAAAAACACAGCACUGUGCAAACACGAAAGUGGACGUAUACGGUGUGACGCCUGCCCGGUGCCGGAAGGUUAAUUGAUGGGGUCAGCGCAAGCGAAGCUCCUGAUCGAAGCCCCGGUAAACGGCGGCCGUAACUAUAACGGUCCUAAGGUAGCGAAAUUCCUUGUCGGGUAAGUUCCGACCUGCACGAAUGGCGUAAUGAUGGCCAGGCUGUCUCCACCCGAGACUCAGUGAAAUUGAACUCGCUGUGAAGAUGCAGUGUACCCGCGGCAAGACGGAAAGACCCCGUGAACCUUUACUAUAGCUUGACACUGAACAUUGAGCCUUGAUGUGUAGGAUAGGUGGGAGGCUUUGAAGCGUGGACGCCAGUCUGCGUGGAGCCGACCUUGAAAUACCACCCUUUAAUGUUUGAUGUUCUAACGUGGACCCGUAAUCCGGGUUGCGGACAGUGUCUGGUGGGUAGUUUGACUGGGGCGGUCUCCUCCUAAAGAGUAACGGAGGAGCACGAAGGUUGGCUAAUCCUGGUCGGACAUCAGGAGGUUAGUGCAAUGGCAUAAGCCAGCUUGACUGCGAGCGUGACGGCGCGAGCAGGUGCGAAAGCAGGUCAUAGUGAUCCGGUGGUUCUGAAUGGAAGGGCCAUCGCUCAACGGAUAAAAGGUACUCCGGGGAUAACAGGCUGAUACCGCCCAAGAGUUCAUAUCGACGGCGGUGUUUGGCACCUCGAUGUCGGCUCAUCACAUCCUGGGGCUGAAGUAGGUCCCAAGGGUAUGGCUGUUCGCCAUUUAAAGUGGUACGCGAGCUGGGUUUAGAACGUCGUGAGACAGUUCGGUCC
rnacentral:rRNA from 1 species